UACGUAGGGUCCAAGCGUUGUCCGGAUUUAUUGGGCGUAAAGAGCUCGUGGGCGGUUUCGUAAGUCGGAUGUGAAAACUCAGGGCUCAACCCGGAGACGCCAUCUGAUACUGCGAUGACUUGAGUCUGGUAGGGGAACACGGAAUUCCUGGUGUAGCGGUGAAAUGCGCAGAUAUCAGGAGGAACACCGAUGGCGAAGGCGGUGUUCUGGGCCAGUACUGACGCUGAGGAGCGAAAGCGUGGGGAGCAAACAGG
rnacentral:rRNA from 1 species